rnacentral:ncRNA from 1 species
AGAAUCGCGAUGAACAAGAGGAGUACGUAUGUUUUUUGAUCGAUAGAGAGCUCUUGGUUGGUGGAAAAGAGAGAUCGAGCAUAGGGAAGAAAGGCUUGGGAGCGACAGUAAUUCCUGCUUUAAAGGAUUGGACCGGAUCGGUUCUUGAGGUUUUUUAGGCAACUAGAAAACGAAUCAGGGUGGUAACGCGAGCACUUCGUCCCUGGA